rnacentral:rRNA from 1 species
AGAGUUUGAUCAUGGCUCAGAAUGAACGUUGGCGGCGUGGAUUAGGCAUGCAAGUCGAGCGCGAACCCCGCAAGGGGGGAAAGCGGCGAAAGGGACAGUAACACGUAGAUUACCUACCCUCAGGUUCAGGAUAGCUGCGGGAAACUGCAGGUAAUACUGAAUAACGUCUCCGGACCAAAGGUGUGAUUCCGCCGGAGGAUGGGUCUGCGUCCUAUUAGCUUGUUGGUGGGGUAACGGCCUACCAAGGCAAUGAUGGGUAGUGGGUGUGAGAGCACGACCCGCGUCACUGGGACUGAGAUACUGCCCAGACACCUACGGGUGGCUGCAGUCGAGGAUCUUCGGCAAUGGGCGCAAGCCUGACCGAGCGACGCCGCGUGCGGGAUGAAGGCCUUCGGGUUGUAAACCGCUGUCAGAGGGGAUGAAAUACAGGUGGGUUCUCCCAUCUGCUUGACAUAUCCUCAGAGGAAGUACGGGCUAAGUUCGUGCCAGCAGCCGCGGUAAGACGAACCGUACGAACGUUAUUCGGAAUCACUGGGCCUAAAGGGUGCGUAGGCUGCGCAGCAAGUUGGGUGUGAAAUCCCUCGGCUUAACCGAGGAACUGCGCCCAAAACUGCUGUGCUCGAGGGAGAUAGAGGUGAGCGGAACUUAGGGUGGAGCGGUGAAAUGCGUUGAUAUCCUAAGGAACACCGGUGGCGAAAGCGGCUCACUGGAUCUCUUCUGACGCUGAGGCACGAAAGCUAGGGUAGCGAACGGGAUUAGAUACCCCGGUAGUCCUAGCUGUAAACGAUGAGCACUGGGUUGAAGGCCCCCCCAUAGGUUUUCAGCCGCAGCGAAAGUGUUGAGUGCUCCGCCUGGGGAGUAUGGUCGCAAGGCUGAAACUCAAAGGAAUUGACGGGGGCUCACACAAGCGGUGGAGGAUGUGGCUUAAUUCGAGGCUACGCGAAGAACCUUAUCCUAGUCUUGACAUGCACGGAUUAACUCCUUGAAAGAGGAGCCAGG